UACGGAGGGUGCAAGCGCUAUCCGGAUUCACUGGGUUUAAAGGGUGCGUAGGUGGUCUGUUAAGUCAGCGGUGAAAGCCUGGAGCUCAACUCCAGAAUUGCCAUUGAUACUGACGGACUUGAAUCAAGUUGAGGUGGAUGGAAUAUUACAUGUAGCGGUGAAAUGCUUAGAUAUGUAAUAGAACACCAAUUGCGAAGGCAGUUCACUAAGCUUGUAUUGACACUGAGGCACGAAAGCGUGGGGAUCAAACAGG
rnacentral:rRNA from 1 species